UGCACUUGGUUUGAUGUGGUCAUUGGAUUUGAUGUUUCAUUUUAAUAAAGACAUCUGGCCGGCACAGCUGUUUAGUUUUGCAGGUGGUGAUCUUUGUCAAGUCCGUGCAGCGUUGUAUUGCUCUAGCUCAGUUGCAGGUAGAGCAAAAUUUCCCUGCCAUUGCCAUUCAAAUAGCAAUGCCUCAAGACGAAAGAUAAAACACUUUAAUGUUAUAAUUAUGAUUGUAGGAUUUUUUUUAGGUGCUCAUAUCACAUUUGAGACUCUUAUUAUUGUCCUAGAUUAGCUCGAUAUCAGCAGUUCAAGGAUUUCUAGAGACGGAUCCUAGUGGCCACAAACCUGUUUGGCCGAGGUAUGGACAUCGAAAGAGUCAACAUUGCCUUCAACUACGACAUGCCUGAAGAUUCAGACACAUACCUGCACAGGGUUGCGAGGGCCGGCAGGUUUGGAACGAAAGGUCUGGCCAUCACCUUUGUCAGAUGAGAAUGAUGCCUGCACUUUGAACGAUGUUCAGGACAGGUUUGAGAACAAACACGAUAAAGACGACAGACCACAAAAGGUAGCAGUUUCUUCGGAGGAUGCAUGGCAUUGUAGCAACAGAGUUUGUCUGUCACACACACUGUUAUGGUGUUAGUGAAAAAUCAGUUCAUAUCGCAGUGUUAUCAUAUAAUGUAGUGGAUUUCCUAAUACCUCCUCAGUAGUUCAGUUUGAUUUUGCUUGUUGACAAAAA